rnacentral:misc_RNA from 1 species
GAUGAAGAACGUAGCGAAAUGCGAUAAGUAAUGUGAAUUGCAGAAUUCAGUGAAUCAUCGAAUCUUUGAACGCACAUUGCGCCCGCCAGUAUUCUGGCGGGCAUGCCUGUCCGAGCGUCAUUUCAACCAUCAAGCCCCGGGCUUGUGUUGGGGACCUGCGUCCGACGCAGGCCCUGAAAACCAGUGGCGGGCUCGCUGUCCACACCGAGCGUAGUAACUAACCUCGCUAUGGAGUGGCGCGGGCGCCUGCCGUAAAACCCCCAAUUUCACAAGGUUGACCUCGGAUCAGGUAGGAAUACCCGCUGAACUUAAGCAUAUCAAUAAGCGGGGA